CCACCCUUAGCUCAGUUGGAUAGAGCGCUGCCCUCCGAAGGCAGACUUGAAAAUAUGGGCACUUAGGGGGUA
rnacentral:tRNA from 1 species